rnacentral:piRNA from 1 species
UAACUCUGAAAUGACGUGCCGAUUGGCCUU